CCUACGGGAGGCUGCAGUGAGGAAUAUUUGUCAAUGGACGAGAGUCUGAACCAGCCAAGUAGCGUGAAGGAUGACUGCCCUAUGGGUUGUAAACUUCUUUUAUAUGGGAAUAAAAUGUUCCACGUGUGGGAUUUUGUAUGUACCAUAUGAAUAAGGAUCGGCUAACUCCGUGCCAGCAGCCGCGGUAAUACGGAGGAUCCGAGCGUUAUCCGGAUUUAUUGGGUUUAAAGGGAGCGUAGGUGGAUUGUUAAGUCAGUUGUGAAAGUUUGCGGCUGAACCGUAAAAUGGCAGGUGAAACUGGCAGUCGUGAGUACAGGAGAGGUGGGCGGAAUGCGGGGUGUAGCGGGGAAAUGCUUAGAUAGCACGAAGAACUCCGAGUGCGAAGGCAGUUCACUGGACUGCAACUGACACUGAGGCUCGAAAGUGUGGGUAUCAAACAGGAGUAGAUACCCUAGUAGUC
rnacentral:rRNA from 1 species